UUUGACAUUCAAAGCUGAACCAGAAAGGAUUGUGGAUUACAAGGACAAGCAAUUAAGAAACAAGACCAUUAGAUUGGUUAAAGUAAUUUGGAAGGGCACGACUCCAGGUGAUGCUACGUGGGAGACCGAGGACAGUAUGCGACGUGAUUAUCCUCGUCUUUUUGAUUAAAUUGUAUUACUGGUGAAGAUUGUGGUGAGAGAGAAAUUUUAAGGAAUAAUUUAUUGAAAAAGCCACAAGGAGAAGAGCCACGAGUGACACGUGGAGGAGUCCCAGAGGCUUAGUGGUAUAGAUCCACUGUCUCUUUUAGGUAUUUAAUUUAUGAUUUAUAAUGUGUUAUAUUGCCAAUAUUAGGGCUUUUUGUUUAUUGUCAAUUAUAUGAAUAUAUAAAUGUAAUCAUGUCUUUCAAACUAUUUCUAUUUUUGGUACAAUUUGGAUGACUGUAAUUUUAAUAUUUGGUUUACUUUGGAUUGGUUAAAAUGGCAUGAUUAUAAGGUCAAAUA